GCCGAUGUAGCUCAGUUAGCAGAGCAACGGUAUCGUAAACCGUGGGUCGUGGGUGCAAGUCCCACCAUCGGCU
rnacentral:tRNA from 2 species